rfam:Paenalcaligenes hominis strain 15S00501, complete genome.
CGGGGAUUAGCUCAGCUGGGAGAGCACCUGCUUUGCAAGCAGGGGGUCGUCGGUUCGAUCCCGUCAUCCUCCA